rnacentral:tRNA from 1 species
GGAAUUGUGCCCGAAUAUUCAAGGACCAUUUUGAUAGAAUGUUACAUGAGGGUUAAAAUCCCCCCAAUUCCU